rnacentral:rRNA from 1 species
UACGGGGGGGGCAAGCGUUGUUCGGAAUUACUGGGCGUAAAGGGCUCGUAGGCGGCCAACUAAGUCAGACGUGAAAUCCCCAGGCUCAACCUGGGAACUGCGUCUGAUACUGGAUGGCUUGAAUCCGGGAGAGGGAUGCAGAAUUCCAGGUGUAGCGGUGAAAUGCGCAGAUAUCGGGAGGAACACCUAUGGCGAAGGCAGCUCGCUGGGACGUUACUGACGCUGAGACGCGAAAGCGUGGGGAGCAAACAGG